rnacentral:misc_RNA from 1 species
ACGUUAUUCCAUCGAGAUACCUUGGCGACUUUAAUUGAGAAAUAACAGUCGACUUUUUGCCGGACCCCCUAAUUUCAUUUCGCUUUUGGACGAUCGCUUCCUGCCUCGGUGGUCAUACCAAGCCGGUUUCAAUUAGAUCCUCGACACACACGGUGGAUCGAAUAAAAACACAGCGUCGUUAUGUUCGUUUUUCUUGGAUCGAACGUACCGUGACCAAAACACGCCUGAGUGAGGGAACCGGAACCGUGAGAUGGUGUGGCUUGAGAAAGAUCGAUGGUGUUGAUGGACGCGUGAAAUUUUUGAAAUGGACGAAGACGUUCCUCUAACGGUAUCACGAACGAAGCUGAUGGUUCAAGUAAUAAUAGGUAACCGGUAGACUAGCAACGAGCAAUUAAUCGCGAGUGAACGAUCAAGCUGGAACAGAUCGGAGAAUGCGUGCCUAGAUUAUCGAAUGAAUUUCCGCAAAAGACACCAUGGGUGAUCACUAGUGAAAAAUGAUGUUACACUGGAUUAUCAUAGACGUUCAGGUGUUAUUACAUUAUCAUGGGAGAUGGUCUGUCAGCGAUAAGUCGAUAUCGAAACUGGUUUUAUGAAGCGAAUAAAUUAUCGAAAGACAGACGAUCAUAAGACCUUUUAUAACAUAUAGGAUUUUGUCUCAAAUUCAAACAUGUAUUUAAUAUUAUUUAAUGAUACGAUGAAACAUUAUAUAUAGGUUAUAGUCAAAUUUUGUUUACAUUCUAUGGAUAUACAUAGUAAGGAAAAGAUGAGAUGCUUACUACCAUAUAUAUAUAUAUAUAU